AUUCCAGCUCCAAUAGCGUAUAUUAAAGUUGUUGCAGUUAAAAAGCUCGUAGUUGGAUUUCUGGUGGAGCACGGGUCGGCCUUCACGGGUUGUACUGUUGUUGCGUCCCGCCGUUUCGGAGGGAAUGGUCUCGCUAUUAAGUUAGCGUGAUCGGGAACUCUGUCGUUUACUGUGAAAAAAUUAGAGUGUUCAAAGCAGGCCUUCGCUGUGAAUACAUUAGCAUGGAAUAAUAAGAUAGGACUGUAGUGCUAUUUUGUUGGUUUGCGUACUAUGGUAAUGAUUAAUAGGGAUAGUUGGGGGUAUUCAUAUUCGAUUGUCAGAGGUGAAAUUCUUGGAUUUAUGGAAGAUGAACUACUGCGAAAGCAUUUACCAAGGAUGUUUUCAUCA
rnacentral:rRNA from 1 species